UACGUAGGCAGCGAGCGUUGUUCGGAGUUACUGGGCGUAAAGGGCGUGUAGGCGGCUGUUUAAGUUUGGUGUGAAAUCUCCCGGCUCAACUGGGAGGGUGCGCCGAAUACUGAAAGACUAGAGUGUGGGAGAGGAAAGUGGAAUUCCUGGUGUAGCGGUGAAAUGCGUAGAUAUCAGGAGGAACACCGGUGGUGUAGACGGCUUUCUGGACCAUAACUGACGCUGAGACACGAAAGCGUGGGUAGCAAACAGG
rnacentral:rRNA from 1 species